rnacentral:rRNA from 1 species
UACGUAGGGUGCAAGCGUUAAUCGGAAUUACUGGGCGUAAAGCGUGCGCAGGCGGUUUUGUAAGACAGAGGUGAAAUCCCCGGGCUCAACCUGGGAACUGCCUUUGUGACUGCAAGGCUUGAGUGCGGGCAGAGGGGGAUGGAAUUCCGCGUGUAGCAGUGAAAUGCGUAGAUAUGCGGAGGAACACCGAUGGCGAAGGCAAUCCCCUGGGCCUGCACUGACGCUCAUGCACGAAAGCGUGGGGAGCAAACAGG